UACAGAGAGUGCAAACGUUGUUCGGAAUUACUGGGCUUGAAGCGCACGUAGGCGGCGUUGUAAGUGUCGGGUGCAAUCCCACGGCUCACCCGUGGAACUGCCCGGCAUACUGCGAUGCUAGAGUGUGGUAGGGGAGAGCGGAACUCCUGGUGGAGCGGUGAAAUGCGUAGAUAUCAGGAGGAACACCGGUGGCGAAGGCGGCUCUCUGGUCCACAACUGACGCUGAGGUGCGAAAGCUAGGGGAGCAAACGGG
rnacentral:rRNA from 1 species